rnacentral:lncRNA from 1 species
UUUUUUUUUUUUUUUUUUUGAGACGGAGUCUUGCGCUGUCGCCCAGGCUGGAGUGCAGUGGCGCGAUCUCGGCUCACGGCAAACUCCGCCUCCCGGGUUCACGCCAUUCUCCUGCCUCAGCCUCCCGAGUAGCUGGGACUACAGGCGCCUGCAACCACGCCCAGCUAAUUUUUUGUAUUUUUUAGUAGAGAUGGGUUUCAUUGGGUUAGCCAGGAUGGUCUCGAUCUCCUGACCUCAUGAUCCGCCCACCUCGGCUUCCCAAAGUGCUGGGAUUACAGGCGUGAGCCAUCGCACCCGGCCCCGUUCUGGCAGUUUUCAAAGCCGUUUUGUUUUGUUUUGUUUUAUUUGUUUGAGAUAGAGUUUCGCUCUGUCGCCCAGGCUAGAGGCUGGAGUGUAGUGGCGCGAUCUCGGCUCACUGCAAGCUCCGCCUCCCGGGUUCACGCCAUUCUCCUGCGUCAGCCUCCCGAUUAGCUGGGACUACAAGCGCCCGCCACCACGCCCGGUUAAUUUUUCCUAUUUUUUAGUAGAAACGCGGUUUCACCCUGUCAGCCUGGAUGGCCUCGAUAUCCUGACCUCAUGAUCCACCCGCCUCAGCCUCCCAAAGUGCUGGGAUUACAGGCGUGAGCCACCCUGCCCAGCCUUUUCAAAGCCUUUAAUAAGAAAAUGUUUCCUUGACAGAAAGCCUGGAAUCUACCUUUCUUAGACUCACUUACUAGCAGUUACUGGUUUAGGUUUUGCCAGUGAGAAACUCGUGUGUGAGACUUGGAAGGUGAACAAGAAGAAGAAGCCAUUGAUCUUCAGUGGGAGCUGCAGGCAGCUAUAUGGGCAUUGGAGAUGGCAGGCCCUCCCUACACAGAAAAAAAGAUGGCAAUCAGCAGCUCAAACUCAGAUCCUACUAUGAUGGCAAUGGCAUAAAGAUUGAGCUUUGCUCCUAAUCACUUUUAAGAAGGUCUAAGUAAGACUUCAAGUGACUUAGCUGUGUCCCAUAUGCAGCCUUCAGUCAUUUGCUGUAACUGGCUGAACAGAAUACUCUGACUAGGCCUGACUCACGAGUCUCCCCAGGAAGCACAGAGAGCAGGUAUCCACUUCCCUGCAACUGCAUAGCCUGAAUGGCACUGCUUCCACCGAAUCUCAACCCUGUGAACUAAAUUGCAUGGUGUCCACUUCACCCCAGCCACAAAGACUGAAUACCUUUAUGUCCACCUUACUCCAACCAUAUGGACGGAACAGGAAUCUUAUGAGGUGAACACAUGUUAAGUACUGUCAGUAGAGGAUGCAGGAGAGACAUUGAGAGAGGAUGAAGGAUUCUUCUAAUUCUGUACACCUGCCAAAGUCUCACCUCAGCUGCCUGCCUAGAAAGGCUGCUUCCCAUGACCCUCUCUACCUGAAGACCACAUGUUCUAAUUCUCAUGCAAAAGCCCCAUCCUCACUCCCUCUUUAUACAUUCACUUAUGAACUGUGGCUCUCUGCCACCUCAUUUCCUGCUUGCCCAGCGACCAUGGACCAGCUCUGAUCUGAGUGUCCUAGGAAACUUCUCUGGAGGUUGCAACUACACCUUCUCCAACAAGACCUGAACCCCACCUUGGAAUCCCCACUUCAACCUUGUCCUUCAUUGCAUCAUUUCCCUGAGCCCUAGGCUAACCAGCAGAGUUCUCUUUACAUCCUUAUAUUUACUUCCCUGCCAUAUUUAAUAAUUCUUUACAUUAAAAAGUUCCUGUUCAAAUUACUAUGAUUUCUUUUUCCUGAUUGAAUUUAGAUGGAUAUAUCCUCUUCAUAAUAAAUUCCAUUUCUCUUGGAC